CCUACGGGAGGCAGCAGUAGGGAAUCUUCGUCAAUGGGCGAGAGUCUGAACCAGCCAAGUAGCGUGAAGGAUGACUGCCCUAUGGGUUGUAAACUUCUUUUAUAUGGGAAUAAAAUGUUCCACGUGUGGGAUUUUGUAUGUACCAUAUGAAUAAGGAUCGGCUAACUCCGUGCAAGCAGCCGCGGUAAUACGGAGGAUCCGAGCGUUAUCCGGAUUUAUUGGGUGUAAAGGGAUCGUAGGUGGAUUGUUAAGUCAGUUGUGAAAGUUUGCGGCUCAACCGUAAAAUUGCAGUUGAAACUGGCAGUCUUGAGUACAGUAGAGGUGGGCGGAAUUCGUGGUGUAGCGGUGAAAUGCUUAGAUAUCACGAAGAACUCCGAUUGCGAAGGCAGCUCACUGGACUGCAACUGACACUGAGGCUCGAAAGUGUGGGUAUCAAACAGGAUUAGAUACCCUAGUAGUC
rnacentral:rRNA from 1 species